UACGUAGGGGGCUAGCGUUGUCCGGAUUUAUUGGGCGUAAAGAGCGUGUAGGCGGUUUUACAGGUCUGCUGUGAAAACUCGAGGCUCAACCUCGAGACGUCGGCGGAAACCAUCUGGCUAGAGUCCGGAAGAGGAGAGUGGAAUUCCUGGUGUAGCGGUGAAAUGCGCAGAUAUCAGGAAGAACACCCGUGGCGAAGGCGGCUCUCUGGGACGGUACUGACGCUGAGACGCGAAAGCGUGGGGAGCGAACAGG
rnacentral:rRNA from 1 species